rnacentral:rRNA from 1 species
ACGAUGAUGCCCACUUGUGGGUGGAUUAGUGGCGAACGGGUGAGUAACACGUGAGUAACCUGCCCUUAACUCUGGGAUAAGCCUGGGAAACUGGGUCUAAUACCGGAUAUGACUCCUCAUCGCAUGGUGGGGGGUGGAAAGCUUUAUUGUGGUUUUGGAUGGACUCGCGGCCUAUCAGCUUGUUGGUGAGGUAAUGGCUCACCAAGGCGACGACGGGUAGCCGGCCUGAGAGGGUGACCGGCCACACUGGGACUGAGACACGGCCCAGACUCCUACGGGAGGCAGCAGUGGGGAAUAUUGCACAAUGGGCGAAAGCCUGAUGCAGCGACGCCGCGUGAGGGAUGACGGCCUUCGGGUUGUAAACCUCUUUCAGUAGGGAAGAAGCGAAAGUGACGGUACCUGCAGAAGAAGCGCCGGCUAACUACGUGCCAGCAGCCGCGGUAAUACGUAGGGCGCAAGCGUUAUCCGGAAUUAUUGGGCGUAAAGAGCUCGUAGGCGGUUUGUCGCGUCUGCCGUGAAAGUCCGGGGCUCAACUCCGGAUCUGCGGUGGGUACGGGCAGACUAGAGUGAUGUAGGGGAGACUGGAAUUCCUGGUGUAGCGGUGAAAUGCGCAGAUAUCAGGAGGAACACCGAUGGCGAAGGCAGGUCUCUGGGCAUUAACUGACGCUGAGGAGCGAAAGCAUGGGGAGCGAACAGGAUUAGAUAC